UACGAAGGGGGCUAGCGUUGCUCGGAAUCACUGGGCGUAAAGGGUGCGUAGGCGGGUCUUUUAAGUCAGGGGGUGAAAUCCUGGAGCUCAACUCCAGAACUGCCUUUGAUACUGAAGAUCUUGAGUUCGGGAGAGGUGAGUGGAACUGCGAGUGUAGAGGUGAAAUUCGUAGAUAUUCGGAGGAACACCAGUGGCGAAGGCGGGUCUCUGGGCAGUAACUGACGCUGAGGAGCGAAAGCGUGGGGAGCGAACAGG
rnacentral:rRNA from 1 species